GACAGAAAUAGAGCAGUAAAACAGUUUGCUUCAGUAAAGUUGUUGAUGCCAUGAUGGGAUAUUGGAUAAAUCAAUGAAGAUGUAUGAAUAAAAUAUGCCUUACUUGAUAACUAAAGGAACUUGCUUUAACAUGAAGAAGCUUAAAACAGAUACCAUCAUGAAGGAGAACCUUCAUGCACAUGAAAUAAGACAAGCUAUACAUUCACAAAGGCUGGCAACAGUGAAAAACUCAACCAGCACAGUGUAUGAAUGAUAAACUAUCACUACAAGUGUACUGCUAAUCCCCAUCCCCUGUGAACCAUGACCUUUCUGUGGUGGGGGUGGCUAGUGUGCCUAAACAAUACAGAUAGCCAUACCAUAGUUGCAUCCAAAAUGAAGGGGUAUCAGCAGAACGGUCAGAAAAACUUGUGGUUCCUGAAGAGGAGCAACAGUCUCGAUUAUUAACUGAUUUGACCUUG